AUGAUACAACAGGCAUGUUUUAAACACCAUUUCACUUUUGGUACAAAAUCCCUCAAGGAGGCAAGAGUGGUAGAGGAGGACUGCCGGACUUGGGCAGGUAAACCACCACCUGGCUUACAUCUGGAUGUGGUGAAAGGAGACGAGCUAAUUGAGAAGCCGAUUAUUGAUGAGAAAAAGUACUACUUAUUUGGGAGGAACCCCGAUCUGUGUGACUUCACUAUCGACCACCAGUCGCGCUCUCGAGUCCACGCAGCACUGGUGUACCACAAGCACCUGAAGACAGUUUUCUUGCUAGACCUCAACAGCACACAUGGCACUUUCUUGGGUCACAUUCGGCUGGAACCUCACAAGCCUCAACAAAUCCCCAUCGAUUCUACGGUCUCAUUUGGCACAUCCACGAGGGCAUACACUCUGCGAGAGAAGCCUCAAACAUUGCCAUCGGCUGUAAAAGGAGAUGAGAAGAUGGGCGGAGAGGAUGAUGAACUCAAGGGCUUGUUGGGACUUCCCGAAGAGGAGACCGAGCUGGAUAACCUGACAGAGUUCAACACUGCCCACAACAAGCGGAUUUCAACCCUCACUAUUGAGGAGGGGAACCUGGACAUCCAGAGACCAAAGAGGAAGAGGAAGAACUCGAGGGUGACCUUCAGUGAGGAUGAUGAGAUCAUCAACCCAGAGGACGUGGAUCCGUCUGUUGGUCGAUUCCGGAACAUGGUGCAGACUGCAGUGGUUCCAGUCAAGAAGAAGCGGAUGGAGGGCUCUGGCUCUCUGGGCCUGGAGGAGUCGGGGAGCAGGCGCAGGCAGAACUUUGCCUUCAGUGGAGGACUAUAUGGGGGCCUGCCCCCCACACACAGUGAAACAGGCUCCCAGCCGCAUGGCAUUCAUGGGACAGCGCUCAUUGGUGGCUUGCCCAUGCCAUACCCGAACCUCGCCCCUGAUGUGGACUUGACUCCUGUUGUGCCAUCAGCAGUGGCCAUAAAUCCCACACCAAACCCCGCAGUCUAUAACCCUGAGGCUGUGAACGAACCCAAGAAGAAAUACGCGAAGGAGGCUUGGCCGGGCAAGAAGCCCACACCUUCCUUACUGAUUUGA